UCAAACACUAUAAUAAUAAAUGUGGAAUAUUU
rnacentral:piRNA from 1 species